rnacentral:misc_RNA from 1 species
GCUGCAAUCAAUGUGGAAGGUCAAGGCUCUUCAAUUGAAAGAUUGGAAGAAGUACUGGGUAGCAGAUUAGAUGGCUUCACAUUAAACAAGCCAGAAGAAGCUGCUUUAGCNNNGAAAACUUUGUGCACAGAGUCUCAGGUAACAAAGGACUCGCCAAAGAACUUGGACAAAGAGAAAGAAAGGAUUGCUGUAAUUAAAGAGGAAAAUUUGAAGUUAGAUCAUCAUAAGGAGUCUCAAAAGACUUCUCCAAUGAGUAAGAUAAGAGAUAUGACGAGGGUAAAGAAGAAACCGGCAUCACCUGUAGCUAAAUCGCCCCAAGUUUCCACCCCAAAGGUCCCAAAGACAAUGCCAACUUCU